rnacentral:rRNA from 1 species
GAGAAACGGCUACCACAUCCAAGGAAGGCAGCAGGCAGCGCAAAUUACCCAAUCCCGGCCCAGGGAGGUAGUGACGAAAAAUAACAAUGCGGGACUCAUCCGAGUCUGCGUAAUUGGAAUGAGCACACUUUAAGUCCUUUAGCGACAACCGAUUGGAGGGCAAGUCUGGUGCCAGCAGCCGCGGUAAUUCCAGCUCCAAUAGCGUAUAUUAAAGUUGUUGCGGUUAAAAAGCUCGUAGUCCGAGUUCAGUUCCGGACUGGCCGGGGAGGUCGCCGCCCGGCGCUUCCCCGCCAGGCUCCGAACGCAGGCCUCCCUCACAAGGGGAGGCCGCAGCCGGUUUCGCCGGGGUCCCCUUCACCGGGUGUCCCGCGCGGCCGGCCCGUUCACCUUGAACAAAUGAGAGUGCUCAGAGCAGGCUACUCCAAGUAAAAGCCCGAAUGUUACCUGCAUGGAAUGAUGGAAGAUGAUCUCGGUUCCAUCCUGGUCUGGGAAUCCGAGAUAAUGAUAAACAGGGACUGUCGGGGGCAUCCGUACUACGACGCGAGAGGUGAAAUUCAGUGACCGUCGUAGGACGAACGACAGCGAAAGCAUUUGCCAAGAAUGUCUUCGUUGAUCAAGAACGAAAGUUAGAGGAUCGAAGGCGAUCAGAUACCGCCCUAGUUCUAACCCUAAACGAUGCUGACUAGCAAUCCGCCGUCGCUAUUCCCAUGGCGUGGCGGGCCGCCCCCGGGAAACCUCAAGUUUUUGAGUUCCGGGGGUAGUAUGGUUGCAAAACUGAAACUUAAAGGAAUUGACGGAAGGGCACCACCAGGAGUGGAGCCUGCGGCUUAAUUUGACUCAACACGGGAAACCUCACCAGGCCCGGACACCAGAAGGAUUGACAGAUUAAGAGCUCUUUCUCGAUUUGGUGGGUGGUGGUGCAUGGCCGUUCUUAGUUGGUGGAGUGAUUUGUCUGGUUAAUUCCGGUAACGAACGAGACUCUGGCCUGCUAACUAGUCGACGUGGGUCCGCUGUGCACGGGCCCCGUAUCGACCCUAUAUCUUCUUAGAGGGAUGAGCAGCGAGUCUAGCUGCAGGAGAUUGAGCAAUAACAGGUCUGUGAUGCCCUUAGAUGUCCUGGGCCGCACGCGCGCUACACUGGACGGGUCAGCGGGUUCGCCUUCUCCGAGAGGAGCGGGAAAUCGCUGCAAACCCGUCCGUGAUAGGGAUUGGGGCUUGCCAUUGUUUCCCAUGAACGAGGAAUUCCCAGUAAGCGCAAGUCAUCAGCUUGCGUUGAUUAAGUCCCUGCCCUUUGUACACACCGCCCGUCGCUACUACCGAUUGAAUGAUUUAGUGAGGCCUUCGGACUGGCGGUCCUGGACUGGGUUCCGCUCUCCGGCGGACCCGGCCACCACUCGCCGGAAAGAUGUCCAAACUUGAUCAUUUAGAGGAAGUAAAAGUCGUAACAAGGUUUCC